AGGCGGCGCUAAUCCGCCCAUCCGCGCGGGUCACCUUUGACCUCUGUCAUCUCCCGCAGUGGCUGGAGGGCCUCGAUGGUGCGGAUCCUGGAAUUUUCUGCAAUGGCCCUGAAUACAUCCUGGCUGAGGCGAAACUGGCUCCUGGCAGCAGGAGUUGCCUUUGCGGGGUUGCAUGGAACACUCUACGCCCUGCAGAAAAUUGCAAAGAGCAGCACGAAAUCCAUCCUGGAUUCACGGGACUAGGCCUGCACCUCCCAACUAACGAGGUAAUCUUGAGGAAUGCCUGAGUCUGGAAUGGCACGAGACUCCUGCAAGUGGGAAUAACGGAGGCACACAGGAGCUGUGAGAUGCUGGGUGGAACAGUGAGCAAGAUCCUGGUGCUGGCUACUUUUUCUAUCUUCCCUGAUUUGCAGACUCAUCAUCCACAUACAUGAACGUCCAUCACAUUGUCAUGAUAGGAUCAAUCCUCAUCUCGUAACCAUCUAUGCACUGCACUGUAUUAGUGCACGUUAUUCCAGUGGUAUUUAUGAUAUUGUGCUUAUGAGUGAUUGCUAAAUGAUUUAUCAUAAAUACUUAACGAUACAUUUAUUUAAAUGUGGAAGGUACUGUUGCAGAUUUAAACAUGAAUGUUGGAAUACUUGAAUCACAUAUGUAUUGGUUUACUAUUAUUCAAUGCCGUGGUGUACACAUUGAUGCAUAUUUAGUAAUUUCUGUACCAGUUUAUAACAUGGAAUUAUUUUGCCCAUUUCGGAAGCUUGAAUUGUGAUGGCUUGUUCACGAUUGCACAACUUGAUGUAGGGUUGCACAAACGAAGCUUUUUUGAUCACAUUAAAUUGUAAAUAUUAUAGAUUGGAGACUGCAUGUCAAUGAAAAACAUAGCAUGAAUAGAUCUUUUGGCUUUCACUAGGUGGCAACAUCAUGUUCCAAAUAAAAUUACGACAUUCUGCACAGGCAUCUUGUACGCUUAAGAUUUUGCACGUAUACACAUGAGUGGAUUGCAACUACAGUAUUGAUUAUGAAAAAUAUGUUUAAUCUCAAAAAGUAUUUUCUAGAGUGUAAAAGUAAUGCUUUGGAUAUAAUUCCUGAAAUGUAAAAAAAAAAUCCACUUUAGAAGCACACAACAAAUAUAUUUUAAAUAUGGUCAUUUUGCAAUGGGCAUGUGUAGCGUGUGUACAAUUGGACUGGCAGUUUGGGCUGCGCUGAGUUGGAGCCUGCUGUGUGCACGAGGUCUGGCGGAUAAUUGCCUUGUCUGCCUUGCAUCCUGCUGAGAAAGAAUGAAAAGUCAUAUGAACAUCUUGCACUCGCAUUUCAUCUUCGAAGGAGGAAAAAGUUAAAACUAGUUAACAGCAAUGAAUGUUGCUAAAUGUAUUGUUGAGUAAAAGUGUUAGAUAUACAGAACUAAAGAAAGACACCGCUGAUGAGUAACGAGUGAAGGGUGGGAGUAUUAAACUAUGGUAUUUAAUAGAUGCGAUGCUCUGUGUAACAUUUCAGAAUAAUGGCGAAUUAAAUUGUGUAUUUAAAGGAAUAUUUGUCUAAAUAUUUAUUUUACCGUAAGUUCAUAAAAUUGAUGUUCUGAUUACACUUUGUGUUGCCACACUAAAACUACCGGUUGGAUUUUGUAGAAGUUUUUAACACUAAAUUUAUUGCACUUUUAAAAAGAAAAGUAUUUUUCCAUUACAAAGGUAAUGGACAAAAAGAUACAAUUAAAGUUACGAGAGUGGUUGUGACAGAUCAGAGACGUUAGCGUGGUUCGGGUGAAGAUCCCAUCUACUUUACGAGUGCUGUCCUGCCAACACGCAUAAAGCAACAGAAAGGGUUCUGCUCAUGAUAGAGCUGAGAUUUCCACAAUUUUAAUUCAUCUUCAUUUCUCCUUUAAUUUUUUAUGUUAAAGUUUCGCCUGAAUUUACAGUGAAAGUGCAUUGUUCCUAAGCUCGGUUUUUAAAUACAUUAGAUGUAUAACACGCUUUUUGGGGAAAUGUUAGUUUAUUCACUGCAACAUUAAAUGAUUAAAGACAUUACAAGCACAAGCAACCAAAAUGUAUGAAUAAAAUUCAAAGUUAAAUAUUUAAAAAUAAAUGCAAUGCAGUUGAUAUAUGAGCCUGUUAACACGGUAUUUGACAUAAAAGGUUCCUUGCGCACAUUUCUAGAAAUGACCUUUCCACCCUUCAAGCAUUUUGCAUUCAACCCAUUCCUUUGUGCUGCUGCUUCUCUUCCAAGAUGUUGAAUAGAAGAUGCCACGCUUGUGGUAAUUGGGAACCUUUGAUACCACAUAUCCUUAACAAGACCCAAGUACACCCAAUUAUUGCAAGAUAUUCAAAUGUACUCGUGUACAAUGACGUUUGAGAAAAAAAAUAUAUAAUUUGCUUAUGUAAUUGAUAACGUAAUAUUGCAAAAAUAUCUAUAUUCGUUUUUUCCUGUUAUAGCAUUAGACAACUUAAACCCUGCAUCAAUGUUGCACGAUAAAAUGUGUUUUUUUUUUCUCAAAAAAUUGUGUAAUUCUAAGCAUAUUGGAUGCAGAAAUUGGUUUGUAAUACAUCAUUCGCAGACAGCACAUUUUACGUGCAAUCUUUGGCCAAGGUGAAUUAUGUUUUAGGUGGAUGUCUGGGAAACGGUGAGCUAGGAUUUUAAAAAAAUUCGUACUGCAACCCUCAAAGGGGCUUGAAAGGGUAAUGUAGGCUUUGCAGCUUCAGCAUACACGUGUGUUACUGAACUUUAUUUUAAAGCUGUGGGUUCAAAGACUGAUGUUGCAGAAGGAUUAUGAAUAUAGGCUAAUACAGUACUGUACUUGGAAUGAUAACACAAGGUCACGUCUGCGCCUGCUACAUGGAAUUUUUGACAAGGGUGGACCAUAAUAUUGCCAUGACUAAAUCCACGUUGAGCAUUCUCAAUCAAAAUGUGCAGGAUUUGUUGCAAAUAAAAAGAUUAUUAAUUAGA